rnacentral:rRNA from 1 species
CACACGCGGUGGAGCAUGUGGUUUAAUUUGAAGCAACGCGAAGAACCCUUUCAAAUCUUGACAUCCUCUGACCCCUCUAGAGAUAGAGUUUUUCCCUUUGGGGGACAGAGUGACAGGUGGUGCAUGGUUGUCGUCAGCUCGUGUCGUGAGAUGUUGGGUUAAGUCCCGCAACGAGCGCAACCCUUAAGGUUAGUUGCCAUCAUUAAGUUGGGCACUCUAAGGUGACUGCCGGUGACAAACCGGAGGAAGGUGGGGAUGACGUCAAAUCAUCAUGCCCCUUAUGACUUGGGCUACACACGUGCUACAAUGGGCAAUACAAAGGGUGGCGAAGUCGCGAGGUCAAGCAAAUCUCAUAAAGUUGUUCUCAGUUCGGAUUGUAGUCUGCAACUCGACUACAUGAAGCCGGAAUCGCUAGUAAUCGUGGAUCAGCACGCCACGGUGAAUACGUUCCCGGGCCUUGUACACACCGCCCGUCACACCACGAGAGUUUGUAACACCCGAAGCCGG